GAUGAAGAACGUAGCGAAAUGCGAUACGUAAUGUGAAUUGCAGAAUUCAGUGAAUCAUCGAGUCUUUGAACGCACAUUGCGCCCCCUGGUAUUCCGGGGGGCAUGCCUGUCCGUGCGUCAUUGCUGCCCUCAAGCACGGCUUGUGUGUUGGGCCUCCGUCCUCCUCCCGGGGGACGGGCCCGAAAGGCAGCGGCGGCACCGCGUCCGGUCCUCGAGCGUAUGGGGCUUCGUCACCCGCUCUUGUAGGCCCGGCCGGCGCUUGCCGACACAUCAAUCUUUUUUCCAGGUUGACCUCGGAUCAGGUAGGGAUACCCGCUGAACUUAAGCAUAUCAAUAAGCGGAGGA
rnacentral:misc_RNA from 1 species